AUACCAUGAGAUAUAAUAUUGUAUUUAAGAGAUAUUCUAGCUCAGUAUAUGAUGUUUCCAUAUAUCAUCAGCUUAACAAGCACACAUUCUCUGCUGCCAACAGUACCAAUUUGUCAACCAAGCAACAAAUAUUCCUUGGUAAUCUGCUAUCAGAUAACAGUUUUCUCAUUGGCAUUUUUAUGAAUUAAAGCUUUCAAGGCUUAAUGUUUUGGUCAAGUUUCAGAUUUGUUUAGCAUAAUCCUGUACUACAUAUUAACAAAUGUUUGGUGUGUCUAGUUCAUCUCUCUCACUAUGAAGAUGGCUACACACUAUCAGCAAUGCACCCCUAUGAUAUACAAGUCUUCAUUGCCAAGUCACUCUGCCAAACAGUGUGUACACCUUUCUUGCAAUGGUAGUACUUUACUGUACUUCAAUCACUUCAGGAGUCUGGAUAUGUCAGCCCAAGGCCAAGGAGAUCAAGUUUGUGUCCAAGGUUACUUAGGUAAUUCUCUAAGAACAAUAGGGUUUUUUUUUUUAAAGACACACACUACAUGUUGCUGAUCUGUGGGUUAGUGGCUCAAUCAUUGUGCACUGAUUCUCCACUGAUGCCUUGAUUGCCAUAAGUUUAUCUACUGAUCUACAGAUCAAGGGACUAAAUGGUCUAUUAAACAUGAGGUCAAGGAAAAAGGAUGAACAUUUCAAGGCUGCAGGAGGAACAUUAAACAUCUCUCUCACUGUGAAAAGAUUCUACUGAUCUACAAAUGAUCAACAUGUUUUAUUUAAAGUUCAUCUGCCAUUUCUUCAAAUGGAGCCAUAGUCAGAAUAAGAUUAUUUUUCAUUGGCAAUGAUGAAUCUUGAUUGGAAAGCUCUUUACUUCAUGUAUAUUGGACAAGAAUUUUAGAAAUAUGUGCAUGUGCUAUCCAUUGUUUAAAAAUGUUUUAUAAUAAAAUUUCAUUUUAAAAAUGUUUUUAUAUAUACUGUAUUAUAUUGUUAAAUGUAUGAUUACUGUUUCCUAAACUAGGUCUAGUACAUUAUAGUAGAGAUACAAAAGAUGCUUUGUUCAGAUAAAUAACUUGUCCAGAUAGUGUUUAUAUAUUGUUUAAUUCAUUAUCUCAAAGAGGCAUUUCUUAAACAGGGCACUUUUUGGGGGGACUUGUCUAUUGUUGACAUUUACAUUUUUUUUAAGCAUGAUGUGAUGCCAAAGUGUGUGUUGGGUUUAUUUUGCAAGCUAGUUUUUGAGAAUCAAAAUUUAAAUUUUACAUGUACACACUAAUUUUAAUUUAUAUUGAAAUGAAAAGCAUUUAAACAUUGUUUUCCAAAAUAUUAUUGUAUUAUUGAAAUUUGUUGUUAUCAGCUGUUAAAUAGCUUUCAUUCAUCAUUUUCUCAUUAUGUAGAUACAACACUUGAAAUGGUUGUACAAACCACUAAAGUAUGUAAAAUUUUGUUUAAAUUAUGUGCAAAAGUUCUUAAAAUAAAAAUAUCAUUCAAC